rnacentral:lncRNA from 1 species
CUGGGGGGACUAUGGGAUUGAAGUCACGCUUUUCGUUAUCCAAAUUUUAUUUUACUGCCAUUUAACAAACACAUGUAUGGCAGACGACACUAACUGUUCGCCGCCGACAAACAUAAAAAAGGUAUACAGUCCCGUAAAAUACAAAAAACAGACUAAAUUAUGUCCUACAUUUCCGGUAACCAGAAAUACCAAAUAGAGGUAUAUAACAUCCCCCGCCCAAAUAUAAAAUUUGAAAAAUUUUGGUCUGGUCACUUGAAAUGCAGACAGCAAUAUAACAUAAUACAAUAAUAAUAAUAAAAAAAAAUACAUUUCAAAUUUGUAUACACCCUUUCUCACUCUGGCAUUACUAACUCCGUACAUGGACACAGUUUUGUUUGUACUUGCAUAUAUACUAUAUCAUAUAUAAGAUGAAUAUAACUUU